rnacentral:misc_RNA from 1 species
CUCAGUGGACAAGAUUGUGGAUGGGGUUUCUCUGAAAUGCUCUUCACUCACUCGGUAGACUCCGUGUCAGAACGCGAGACAAGAUCAUCUGUGCUAUAUCCAGAGCGAGAGAAGAGGGUUUUUUGCCCGGACCGCUUGCUCUUCUCGUCAAUCUGGACACUUGUUGGCUUCUUUACCCAAAGCAUACCACACACUCAGAAGGAUCUAAUGCCUUUAAAUCUCCCAAAGCUAGGCCGGAUAGAUGAACGUUGUGUUUUUUCCGAUUAUCGAGGCAGUAGCGAACGAACGAACGGUAAAAUAAUACCAUCCUCUCCCUUAACACCCUUCACCAACGGGUUUUGUUCCUUCAACAGCUUCCAAACAACAUGAUCUUGUUCUACAUUUAUUCCUACCGCCAUAGUCCUAGCUUUCCGAGACCAGUAAAGCUCUGGAAAUAUUUCGAGCUGGACCAAUUCCACACAGCCUCCAUCAUACUUGUCCUUCUCUGUAUGACCAUCUUAAUUGCCAGAUCCUUGCUCUGCUUCUGAAACAAAAAAAAAUGCUUGUGGAGCUGUUGGUAGUUGUCACUAGGACACAGCUUUUCGUGCUCUUGUCUGAGCAUUGAGACAGCUGAAAGCCUGGGGAUCAAGCUGAGUUGUAAAGUGUCCUGUUGCUGGCUGAUUCACCCAGCCCUACACCACAAGCGUUCGAUCUACAAGUAGUUGCAAUUCGACCAAACGUGCUUGGAACGUGUCAACAUCCGGAAAAGUGUCGUUAAUCGGUUUCGGGAUUGAGCCAAAAAACAAUAUAUCGAUCAGUAAUGAAGUUGGGGUC